GACGAACGCUGGCGGCGUGCUUAACACAUGCAAGUCGAACGAUGAAGCCGGAGCUUGCUCUGGUGAAUUAGUGGCGAACGGGUGAGUAACACGUGAGUAACCUGCCCUUGACUCUGGGAUAACUGCGGGAAACUGUAGCUAAUACCGGAUACGACCCUCGGAGGCAUCUCCUGGGGGUGGAAAGAAUUUCGGUCAAGGAUGGACUCGCGGCCUAUCAGCUAGUUGGUGAGGUAAAGGCUCACCAAGGCGACCACGGGUAGCCGGCCUGAGAGGGUGACCGGCCACACUGUGACUGAGACACGGCCCAGACUCCUACGGGAGGCAGCAGUGGGGAAUAUUGCACAAUGGGCGCAAGCCUGAUGCAGCAACGCCGCGUGAGGGAUGACGGCCUUCGGGUUGUAAACCUCUUUUAGCAGGGAAGAAGCGAAAGUGACGGUACCUGCAGAAAAAGCACCGGCUAACUACGUGCCAGCAGCCGCAGUAA
rnacentral:rRNA from 1 species